GUCGUCGCCUGAGGAGGACUUCGCGCGAGAACGCGCGGCGGCUUCCCUCUUUCCCCCCUCCCCCUUUACUCCGUUCACCGCCCCGCCCCUCGCCCAGCUCGCAACCUGCGCGCGCAAUAGGCGCGAGCGCCACUUUCUCUGAAGCGCGGCCGUUCUGUUCCUUUCCCUCCACCCUCGAACGCUGGCUGGCUGGCUGGCUCGGACGGCGACGCGUGCGUGGUAGGAAUCAACGUCUCCGCGCUCGCGCGCUCUGCUCUCACCGCCUCAGAUUCCCAGGGCAGGAGAUGUACAAGAGGACAGAGGCUUAAUUGAAACAUAAUAUAACACAAAGCAAUUACAAAGACGGCCAAGGGAUUAUAGAAAUUAAAAAUGACUGGGUAAAUAAAAAUAUGCCUUAACCCAGUGCUGAAAAGAUGGUAAAGUAGGCACCAAAUCUGGAGAAACAUGAUCAGUCCCAAAAGGAGGUAAGGUCCACAGCUUAUAUGCAGGUUUCAUUUAAGCACCACUGGCUUAACAUGUGUACUGCAUUGGCUGCUGGUUUUUUUAAUUGAUUAGGUUAGGAACAUCUACAGACUUGGUACUUUACAAGCAGGUUUGACAGGUCUCUGCUGCCCCAAAGGACUUACAGUCUAGAAAAGAAUGAAAAAAAACAGAGGCAAACAACAUAAGGAAAACAACAGAGGAAGGUGGGGUGAUGAAGGGGGUAGGGAAGUAAAUUAGGGGAAGAAUAUGUGAUUAUUUCAGUUCUAUGCACUUUCAGUUAGCUAUAUUAGGGUACUGGGAUUAGGAGGCUGUUCCAAAGUAGGAAAGGGCAAUCUAGGUGUUGCUGGACCCAUCAACUUCAUCAGCCUUAUCAAUGACUGCGAUGCAAAGCCAAAACUCAAAAUUCAGUUCAAUCGAGCAUUUUUUCCUGUUGGAUUCUGUGUGUGUUUCUCCCUGAUCUACUUGCUAUAGGAUGUUGCAUGUUGUUUAAGCAAUCUUGUUAAAUUUAUAGUAUUGAAAUAUGGGGGUGGGGGUUUGUAUGUUGUUAUAUUUUUGUUCUGCUGUGCUAUUAUGAAAUUUGUUACUUCUUUUUUUUGCUUUGCAAAAAACUGAAUUUUUUUGCAUUUGUUAGAAAUGCGCACCUGUUUCUUUGUUGUAAGUGGUUUUGAGCAUUAUAUUUUAGUGGGAAAGUGGCAUACAAAUAAAAUAAAAAUUUAUUGAAAA